CAGUCGCCGCGGUAAAACGAAGGGUGCAAGCGUUAAUCGGAAUUACUGGGCGUAAAGCGUGCGUAGGCGGUUUGUUAAGUCUGUUGUGAAAUCCCCGGGCUCAACCUGGGAAUGGCAAUGGAUACUGGCAAGCUAGAGUGUGUCAGAGGAUGGUGGAAUUCCCGGUGUAGCGGUGAAAUGCGUAGAGAUCGGGAGGAACAUCAGUGGCGAAGGCGGUCAUCUGGGACAACACUGACGCUGAGGCACGAAAGCGUGGGGAGCAAACAGGAUUAGAUACCCCCGUAGUCCCUGUCUCUUAUAC
rnacentral:rRNA from 1 species